rnacentral:rRNA from 1 species
AGAGCGAACGCUGGCGGCAGGCCUAACACAUGCAAGUCGAGCGCCCGUAGCAAUACGGGAGCGGCAGACGGGAUAGUAACACGUGGGAACGCGCCCUUCGGUUCGGAAUAACUCAGGGAAACUUGAGCUAAUACCGAAUACGCCCUUACGGGGAAGAUUUAUUGCCGAAGGAACGGCCCGCGUCCGAUUAGCUAGUUGGUGAGGUAAUGGCUCACCAAGGCUACGAUCGGUAGCUGGUCUGAGAGGAUGACCAGCAUCACUGGGACUGAGACACGGCCCAGACUCCUACGGGAGGCAGCAGUGGGGAAUAUUGGACAAUGGGCGCAAGCCUGAUCCAGCCAUGCCGCGUGGAUGAUGAAGGCCUUAGGGUUGUAAAGUCCUUUUAACGGGGAAGAUAAUGACGGUACCCGUAGAAUAAGCCCCGGCUAACUUCGUGCCAGCAGCCGC